rnacentral:rRNA from 1 species
UGGGGAAUUUUGCACAAUGGGGGAAACCCUGAUGCAGCGACGCCGCGUGAUUUAGAAGGCCUUCGGGUUGUAAAAAUCUUUUGUAUAGGAAGAAAAUGACAGUACUAUACGAAUAAGGACCGGCUAAUUACGUGCCAGCAGCCGCGGUAAUACGUAAGGUCCGAGCGUUGUCCGGAAUCAUUGGGCGUAAAGCGAGCGCAGGCGGUUAGAUAAGUCUGAAGUGAAAGGCAGUGGCUCAACCAUUGUAGGCUUUGGAAACUGUUUAACUUGAGUGCAGAAGGGGAGAGUGGAAUUCCAUGUGUAGCGGUGAAAUGCGUAGAUAUAUGGAGGAACACCGGUGGCGAAAGCGGCUCUCUGGUCUGUAACUGACGCGGAGGCUCGAAAGCGUGGGGAGCGAACAGG